UGACAGUGGUGAAGCAGAACGCCGACGUGGC
rnacentral:piRNA from 1 species